rnacentral:rRNA from 1 species
UAACCUGCCUAUUAGAGGGGGGUAACUAUUGGAAACGAUAGCUAAUACCGCAUAACAGUAUGUAACACAUGUUAGAUGCUUGAAAGAUGCAAUUGCAUCGCUAGUAGAUGGACCUGCGUUGUAUUAGCUAGUAGGUAGGGUAAUGGCCUACCUAGGCGACGAUACAUAGCCGACCUGAGAGGGUGAUCGGCCACACUGGGACUGAGACACGGCCCAG